UUCAGUGUUUUGAGUGCAAAUAAGUUGAAGUAAUAAAAAAAAUACUGAAAAAUUGUUAUGCAAAAAUGAAAAUAACUUACAACCAAUGUAUUAAGCGGUUCACCACUGACCGCGAAUUCGUUUCGUAAUUUCAUAAAACCUAAAAACAUUUACAUAAUUUAAGAAACAACAAUAAUAAAUACAUAUAAAAUUGCUUUUCAUUUACUUGAAUCAGAAGGCAAAACUAAUAAAAUACUCAACAUUCAACACUGAGAAAAGUGUAAAAAUUUCCGUCUUCACGGCAGCGUACGAUUGCCAAGGUUAAGUGCUGUGAAGUGGAGCUCUCAGAGGCUUAAGGUAAAUAUUCAGCAGUGUCGGUAUGUUUCUUACUAUGCAAAUACUACAAGGUGCUGUUGAGUUAUUUUCAGGAAAAAAAUCGUUUUUGAUUAGAAAAAGAAUUAAUAUCUUCGAGGUGUUAAGAAAGUUGCGUGUGAAAGCUGCUUUUAUUUACAGUUACUGAAUUCAUAAUUUAUGCACAACAACAAGGAGUACGAAAAGUUGAGCUUUUUAUUGACGUCAAGUAAGAAUCUGCAAUCAGCCAGUGUAAUAAAGUGAACAAAUCUCAUGCUUAACCCCUUUCAUACAUAAUUUGCAUAAUAAUGUCUGCGGAAUGUUUUUUAUCGCGACUUCAAUUGCUGUUUGUGAAAGUUUAGCCUGCUGAAGUGUUGGCUGAUUUUCGCACAUACCAGAAUACAGAAUAACAGCAAAUAGUAAAACCAAAAACGCAAAACUUUAACACAACAAGCGCCCAAAGAGCAUAAAGGAUUUUACAUAUAUCCCUAUGCCGCGUACAAAUUUUAAAAGCAUGAGCGCGAGUGUGUUGAGGUAAAAGGUGAUGCACACAAAAAUAGCUAAUAACAAGAUAUAAAUUCACCAGAAACCAGAAAGGUACAAGGCAACAACAACAAAUAUAAAGCAAAGCAAAGUGUGAUUGUGUAAAUCAUGUCCAACGAAAGGUCGACAAAACAAAAUCUAAAAGAAAAAUUCAUCAUAAUACACGCGCCCACUUAAAAAGCAGAAAGCCAAAUGUUAAACAAAUAAACAGGGAUUCACGUAUACGUACAUAUGCGGAAAUUUCUACGGCACUAAAAUGCUCGAUUCACACAUGCCACCAACGACAGCAGUGAGUGAUUUUGAAAGCAUAGAGCCCUGCAAGGUCGACACUUCUAAUGAAUUCGAGAGCAGUGGUGGUGGGGGCGGUAGAGGCGAGUUGGAUGUCAUCAUCGCUAGUGAAACUAGUCGAGCUGCUUUCGGCGGCUUCGCGGAAAACCUACAAUUGCUGCAAUCAAUCACUGCUACUCUAUGGCAUAAAUAACUGUAGUAUGAAUAUUUACAGUGGAAUUAACGAUACAAUGGUACUUCUUGGACACCUUUCUCUUAUCCUUUUGCCCAUAUAAUGCCAGCAGUUCUUAAUUGGAUUGGGAUCUAAACUGUUUCCUCACCACUAAAGAGACUCAAUUCCAUAAAAAUCUUCUUGUUCCUCUUUUGGCUCUAUGGCAAUGAGCUGAACCAUCCUGAAAAUACACUUUUUGAAUUGAUAAAACGCUUCCUUUCCAAUGUAUUUUUCGCCAUUUUAACAUCCUUUAAGAAUAAUAAGCUGUCCAACAACAAACUACACGAAAUAAAGCAAAUACUUUACGGUGGGAAAAGCACUGGGGUCCAAACAAACUAAAUUUGGAUUCGUCGGAAAAAGUAACAUUUCCCCAUGUUUGACGUCUGGAUAAUUAUUUCUACUUUUUUCUCUAUUGCGAAUGCUAUGUUUAACUUUGCUUAUUUUUAUAACUGACUCAAAAGAAA